GGUAAAGGCCUACCAAGGCUUCGAUCGGUAGCUGGUCUGAGAGGAUGAUCAGCCACACUGGGACUGAGACACGGCCCAGACUCCUACGGGAGGCAGCAGUGGGGAAUUUUGGACAAUGGGGGCAACCCUGAUCCAGCCAUGCCGCGUGAGUGAAGAAGGCCUUCGGGUUGUAAAGCUCUUUCGGUAGGAACGAAACGGUUACGACUAAUACUCGUGACUAAUGACGGUACUUACAGAAGAAGCACCGGCUAACUACGUGCCAGCAGCCGCGGUAAUACGUAGGGUGCGAGCGUUAAUCGGAAUUACUGGGCGUAAAGCGUGCGCAGGCGGUUAUUUAAGUCAGGUGUGAAAGCCCUGGGCUUAACCUAGGAAUUGCGCUUGAGACUGGAUAGCUUGGAGUGUGGCAGAGGGAGGUGGAAUUCCACGUGUAGCAGUGAAGUGCUAGAGAUGUGGAGGAACACCGAUGGCGAAGGCAGCCUCCUGGGCCAGCACUGACGCUCAUGCACGAAAGCGUGGGAGCAAACAGGAUUAGAUACCCUGGUAGUCCACGCCCUAAACGAUGUCGACUGGUUGUUGGUGGGGUUAAACCCAUUAGUAACGAAGCUAACGCGUGAAGUCGACCGCCUGGGGAGUACGGCCGCAAGGUUAAAACUCAAAGGAAUUGACGGGGACCCGCACAAGCGGUGGAUGAUGUGGAUUAAUUCGAUGCAACGCGAAGAACCUUACCUACCCUUGACAUGUACGGAAGCCUGCUGAGAGGUGGGCGUGCCCGAAAGGGAGCCGUAACACAGGUGCUGCAUGGCUGUCGUCAGCUCGUGUCGUGAGAUGUUGGGUUAAGUCCCGCAACGAGCGCAACCCUUGUCACUAGUUGCUACGCAAGGGCACUCUAGUGAGACUGCCGGUGACAAACCGGAGGAAGGUGGGGAUGACGUCAAGUCCUCAUGGCCCUUAUGGGUAGGGCUUCACACGUCAUACAAUGGCGCAUACAGAGGGCUGCCAACCCGCGAGGGGGAGCCAAUCCCAGAAAGUGCGUCGUAGUCCGGAUUGCAGUCUGCAACUCGACUGCAUGAAGUCGGAAUCGCUAGUAAUCGCGGAUCAGCAAUGUCGCGGUGAAUACGUUCCCGGGUCUUGUACACACCGCCCGUCACACCAUGGGAGUGGGUUUCACCAGAAGCCGGUUGCCUAACCGCAAGGGGGGCGCUGACCACGGUGAGAUUCAUGACUGGGGUGAAGUCGUAACAAGGUA
rnacentral:rRNA from 1 species